AGCAGUAGCCGCGGUAAUACGUAGGGUGCGAGCGUUAAUCGGAAUUACUGGGCGUAAAGCGUGCGCAGGCGGUUCGUUAAGACAGAUGUGAAAUCCCCGGGCUUAACCUGGGAACUGCAUUUGUGACUGACGGGCUAGAGUAUGGCAGAGGGGGGUAGAAUUCCACGUGUAGCAGUGAAAUGCGUAGAGAUGUGGAGGAAUACCGAUGGCGAAGGCAGCCCCCUGGGCCAAUACUGACGCUCAUGCACGAAAGCGUGGGGAGCAAACAGGAUUAGAGACCCCAGUAGUCCCUGUCUCUUAUAC
rnacentral:rRNA from 1 species